GUGGAGUAUAUAUAGAGGUUGUGAGUAGGUCAACAUGAAAUUGAUCACUCGUAGUAAGAGGAGAUCACGUCUUGUGUAUUCUCAAUCCUAGAUGACUUGAGAAAGGUCUUUUGGCCAAAAGUAGAAAGGAGAUUAGAAAAAAUUUCUAAUAAUUCUUCAUUGGAGUUAUCAUUGGUUAAUUGAGAAUCGAUAUGAAUAUAUGUUUGAGUUUGAUAUGAUUCCUUACUCAUGAACAUAUUCAGGAUGCAGGG
rnacentral:lncRNA from 1 species